rnacentral:lncRNA from 1 species
UCUCUAAAAUCCUACAGUCACACUAUAGCAUCAAGAUAAUCACUGAUGAUCGAAUAGAAAUCUUUAUGAUUUCUCAUAUGAUCAUGCUAUGUACUAGUUCUCUAAUAAUUAUCUGUACUUUUUGUUCAGUAUCUCUAUACCAUAAAUUAGAAACUCAUCUAUCCUGAAGAAAAUGAACCAUACGUCGGUCUAUCUAAAAGGAUUACCAUCCCUAUGACUAUCCUAUG